UACGGGGGGAGGCAAGCGUUGUUCGGAUUUACUGGGCGUAAAGGGCGCGUAGGCGGCCAGCACAAGUCAGUUGGUGAAAUCUCCGAGCUUAACUCGGAAAGGUCAACUGAUACUGUGCGGCUAGAGUGCGGAAGGGGCAACUGGAAUUCUCGGUGUAGCGGUGAAAUGCGUAGAUAUCAAGAGGAACACCUGCGGCGAAGGCGGGUUGCUGGGCCGACACUGACGCUGAUGCGCGAAAGCUAGGGGAGCGAACGGG
rnacentral:rRNA from 1 species